GGGCUUGCCUGGUUGCUUAGACAAGAAGGAGGGGUCGUCGGUGACGUAGUCGACCACAGGGGCAUCAGCAUCGUCACGGGGUCUACCGGAAAGAAGUAACGGAGGGGGAACACAAUAAAUAACAGAGCAAUCAAAUGUAACACAAAGCAAGAAGCGGCAAUACGUUGUGCUAGAGGUGACCUAACGUAGGGAUAGGUGAUACCGGCGAAUGGGGGAAACAUCCGGGAAAAUAUUCCCGGUGUUUCGCGUUUUCGGACAGAUUAACCGGAGGGGGAAAGUUGCGUGUUUGAUAUGCUAGGGAUGUGUGGCGGACGAACGGCCUGCGUACCCGGAUUCGUCUCGUCGUUCUGAGCAACUUUCAUAUAUAAAACUUUUUCAUCCGAGUUACGGAUUAUUUUAUAUGAUUUUCCGAAGUUUAAAUGAUUUUCUGAAAUUUCUGGAUUUAAUUAUAUUUCGAAAUUAAAACAGAAUAUACUAAGUGUACCCAUGGGUUUCCUAGUCUAUUGUAUGGCAAGUGGGGCCUUGGUGUGCUGAGUCAUGAGGUCAACAGUCAACGUUGACUGGAUUGACCACUACAGUGUAUGUCAUGGGGUCCACAUGUCAUUGUGUAAUAACUAACCUAACUAGUACUACCAAUUAGUCUCUAAUCUAAUUUGUAUGGCCGGCCACUGGUGGCUGUGCACACCCACGCACAUAGCAAGGCCGCCGUGGCCAUUAGCAGCAGCAAGUAGCGCACAGCAGCGGCAACAAGUAACAAUAACAACAGCGGCAGAAGCUAAGUAACUAAGCAACAGAGGACAUCAGCUAAGCAGCGGCAAAAACAGAAGGCAGCAACAGGGGCUAUGCUAGGCAGCGGGCGGCAGCAGGGGCGACGCUAGGCGAUGGCCGGCGAGCAACUGCAGGCGGAGGUGAGGCCAGGGGCGGGCGCGCACUGGCAGCAGUACACAUCAACAAGUUAAGCAGCAGCAGCAGCUCACGCACGCACCUAUGUACGCGUACGCGCGAGGUCGGAUGUGCUCGGGGACGGCAAACGGCGACCGAAUCGAGGCAGGGGAAGGAGGGAUCCGGAGGAGUUGCUCACAGGUAGACCAUUGGCGCGCUCGGAGAGGGUCGGGGUGGACCGGAGAGGCGGUGGUGAUGGCGAGACGACGACGGCCGGACGAAGAAGACGAAGACUGCGUCGGCUACGCAGCUCCCCGCCUCGUUCCAGUGCCCUGAAUGGACGCGGUAGAGCGCUGCGAACCUCCAGGAUGUGCUCCCGUACGCCGGAGAGGCCGGUGGACGCGUCAAUGACGGCGAGGCAGCGGUGACCGCGUGAGCUUGCAAGCUCAAAAUCGAGCCAGAGAAGAGGAGGAACGAUGGGGAUCGAGGAG
rnacentral:lncRNA from 1 species